rnacentral:rRNA from 1 species
GACGUAGGGCGCAAGCGUUGUCCGGAUUUAUUGGGCGUAAAGCGCUCGCAGGUGGUUCGUUGCGUCGUGCGUGAAAGACCCCGGCUCAACUGGGGGGUGUCGUGCGAUACGGGCGAACUGGAGGCCAGUAGGGGGAUGCGGAAUUCCGGGUGUAGUGGUGGAAUGCGUAGAGAUCCGGAGGAACACCAGCGGCGAAGGCGGCAUCCUGGACUGGUCCUGACACUCAGGAGCGAAAGCGUGGGGAGCGAUCCGG